AGGAAAGCGGCGCGGCCGGAUGACGCAAGUCACCUAGCAACCGCUCCCCUCACCCCCGCCCUUUUCUUUCCGCCGGGACGUUUCCUCCGCGGGCCUUUUUUUUUUUCCCCCGGUUCUAGGCACCCCGCCCUGGGUGACUGCGGCGCGCUCUGAUGACGCGGGAAGGGAAGAGGAAGUCGGGGCUCCGCGAGCGGGUGGGUGCGCCUCGGGCCGCGGGACCUGCCGCCGCCGCCGCCGCCGCCUCUGCGGCCGCGUCAGAACCGAGGAGAGGAAGGGGAGGAGCCGAGGGGAGCCUAAGCUGCCGCCUGAUCUUACCCCUGACCCGGCGGCGGCGGCGGGGAGAGCUCGCUCCGCAGCGGUCUCCUUCGGGGCAGGCGGUGGCUGCUCCUUUGGGAGCGAGGAGGAAGGCCCGGCCCGCGCGGCCAUGCUCGGGCGCGCACCACCCGAAGGAGGAGAUGUUAGUAGUGUCUCCAUUUUAGGAAUCAUUCUUGCUUGUUGUGAAGCUUUUGGAGAGCUGAUUCUGGUCGUUAGCUUCUCCUACAGAUGUUACCCUGGAAAGUAAAUUCAAGUAAAACUCACCAAGUUGUAAAGUGUAGUUAGUUCUCCAGGAAAGGAAAUUUUGAGAUGAAAGUGUCAGAAUCCUCGGAAUCUGCCUGGAACCUGUCCGGGUGAAUAGCGUGGAGACUGAGAUGAGAAAGCAGCAGCAAGGAUGGAAGGACGCAGAUUCCAGAGUUCCGCCGCCGGACCCUGGCACACCCCACCUGCUCCCGAAGCAGCAUGAAUGGAUGUUACAAGUCUUUCCGCUUUGGGAACUAAGGAGCGAGUUUUUAUAGGCAGAUUUUGGAAGCUCAGGGUUUCUACCAGCAUCAUAUGCAAACAGUAGACCAAAGAAGGUUCUAACUGGGCGAACCCAAGGGCUCAUUUUUAUUAAAAUGCUGCAGAAAGAGUGAUAGGAGUGGGGAAGUGGGUGUUGCAGAAGCAAGAAGAGACUCACAAAGCAGAACUUGCCCAGGUGUCCUUGAUGCGAAGUUCCAAGAGCCAGGCUAACUAUCCUGUUUAAGCUACUGUGGAUUUUACUGCGUUGUCAUGAUCGCUGCUUUACCAUGUCCUUCCAAGUUAAGACUCACAGAGAAUCUGAUCCCCAAGUGAUAGCCCCACAUGGUUUUGCCUCUCCCUAAUUUCCUGGCAGAAAUUGAAUGAGUUAAAUGCACAAAUUUAAGAGAUUUUUGUGAAGCUGAGCACCUCAGAUUUUAAGCCCUUUGGACACUGGAUAAAAAGGGAAAACAUGAGAGCUCUGCAACCCAGCAGGGGACACCUCCAGAAAAGUGUGUACUGUACCACAUGGGGUUUUUCAGCAGCCUGAUGUGUUUUCAUUGUAAGUGGCUCCACCUUAGAACCUUAGUACUGAGAGACAGAAAAGCACUCAGGACAGCCCUCAUCCAGCUACUUAUGAAGAAAUAGAAGCACUAAACUUACUGGGCAAAAUCCACACUCCUCACCACCCAGUACAGUAACUGGAGGAAACAGAUGGAACUGG
rnacentral:lncRNA from 1 species